rnacentral:rRNA from 1 species
CCUACGGGUGGCUGCAGUAGGGAAUCUUCGGCAAUGGACGAAAGUCUGACCGAGCAACGCCGCGUGAGUGAAGAAGGUUUUCGGAUCGUAAAACUCUGUUGGUAGGGAAGAACGUUGGUGAGAGUGGAAAGCCCAUCAAGUGACGGUAACUACCCAGAAAGGGACGGCUAACUACGGACCACCAGCCCCGGUAAUACGUAGGUCCCGAGCGUUGUCCGGAUUUAUUGGGCGUAAAGCGAGCGCAGGUGGUUUAUUAGGUCUGGUGUAAAAGGCAGUGGCUAAACCAGUGUAUGCAUUGGAAACUGGUAGACUUGAGUGCAGGAGAGGAGAGUGGAAUUCCAUGUGUAGCGGUGAAAUGCGUAGAUAUAUAGAGGAACACCGGUGGCGAAAGCGGCUCUCUGGCCUGUAAAUGACACUGAGGCUCGAAAGCGUGGGGAACAAACAGGAUUAGAUACCCGAGUAGUC